CGGCGUGGGAGAACAUUGCUGCUCGGGUCAAUGCGCAACAGAAAGAAGGCAGAUGGGUGGUGGCCCAGCACCUCCACCUCUAAUGGAGGCAGAGGAGCCCUAAACCAAAAUAUUGGAAGGCCUGUGGCUGAGGGAAUCCCUGGAGGGAGCUCAUCCUCUGAGUUCACCCCCCAAGACACAAGUGCCUUUAUAAAAUAUUCUGAUGGUACCGCUCAAAAAGAUAAUUGUCUGGAAAUGCUAAAACAUCUAUGCGCGGUCUGAUAACCAUCAUUCAGUUCUCUGCGCAGUGAUGCUGCACCUUCAUCGACAGGAUCGUUGUCAAAAGGACAUGCCAUGUUCAUGAAAAAAGUCGCCUCCUGCUGUGCCUUUUGAACUUCUGAUAUAGCCUACUGACUGACUUUUUUUUAAUGAUUUCUGACAGACAGCAGA